rnacentral:tRNA from 1 species
GCAGUGGUGGUUCAGUGGUGGAAUUCUCACUUUCCAUGUGAUAGAUUGGGGUCCGAUUCCCAGCUAAUGCA